rnacentral:rRNA from 1 species
AUUGAACGCUGGCGGCAUGCCUUACACAUGCAAGUCGAACGGCAGCACGGGUGCUUGCACCUGGUGGCGAGUGGCGAACGGGUGAGUAAUACAUCGGAACAUGUCCUGUAGUGGGGGAUAGCCCGGCGAAAGCCGGAUUAAUACCGCAUACGAUCUACGGAUGAAAGCGGGGGACCUUCGGGCCUCGCGCUAUAGGGUUGGCCGAUGGCUGAUUAGCUAGUUGGUGGGGUAAAGGCCUACCAAGGCGACGAUCAGUAGCUGGUCUGAGAGGACGACCAGCCACACUGGAACUGAGACACGGCCCAGACUCCUACGGGAGGCAGCAGUGGGGAAUUUUGGACAAUGGGCGAAACCCUGAUCCAGCAAUGCCGCGUGUGUGAAGAAGGCCUUCGGGUUGUAAAGCACUUUUGUCCGGAAAGAAAUCCUUGGCCCUAAUACGGUCGGGGGAUGACGGUACCGGAAGAAUAAGCACCGGCUAACUACGUG